AGCUUUGCGCAGUGGCAGUAUCGUAGCCAAUGAGGUUUAUCCGAGGCGCGAUUAUUGCUAAUUGAAAACAGUAUGGUACUAGC
rnacentral:snRNA from 1 species